rnacentral:rRNA from 1 species
UUGGAGGGCAAGUCUGGUGCCAGCAGCCGCGGUAAUUCCAGCUCCAAUAGCGUAUAUUAAAGUUGUUGCAGUUAAAAAGCUCGUAGUUGAAUUUCGGGAUCAAAUUGUCGGUCGUGCCUCGGUACGCACUGGUAUUAUUGGUUCCUACCUUCUGAAGAACCGCGAUGUCAUUAAUUUGGUGUCGUGGGGAAUCAGGACUGUUACUUUGAAAAAAUUAGAGUGUUUAAAGCAGGCUUACGCUUGAAUACAUUAGCAUGGAAUAAUGAAAUAGGACGUUUGAUUCUAUUUUGUUGGUUUCUAGGAUUGACGUAAUGAUUAAUAGGGAUAGUUGGGGGCAUUAGUAUUCAAUUGUCAGAGGUGAAAUUCUUGGAUUUAUUGAAGACUAACUACUGCGAAAGCAUUUGCCAAGGAUGUUUUCAUUAAUCAAGAACGAAAGUUAGGGGAUCGAAGGCGAUCAGAUACCGUCGUAGUCUUAACCAUAAACUAUGCCGACUAGGGAUCGGAUGAUGUUAAUUUUUUAAUGACUCAUUCGGCGCCUUACGGGAAAC